GGUCUCCGUUGGUGAACCAGCGGAGGGAUCAUUACCGAGUUUACAACUCCCAAACCCCUGUGAACAUACCUAUACGUUGCCUCGGCGGAUCAGCCCGCGCCCCGUAAAACGGGACGGCCCGCCCGAGGACCCUAAACUCUGUUUUUAGUGGAACUUCUGAGUAAAACAAACAAAUAAAUCAAAACUUUCAACAACGGAUCUCUUGGUUCUGGCAUCGAUGAAGAACGCAGCAAAAUGCGAUAAGUAAUGUGAAUUGCAGAAUUCAGUGAAUCAUCGAAUCUUUGAACGCACAUUGCGCCCGCCAGUAUUCUGGCGGGCAUGCCUGUUCGAGCGUCAUUUCAACCCUCAAGCUCAGCUUGGUGUUGGGACUCGCGGUAACCCGCGUUCCCCAAAUCGAUUGGCGGUCACGUCGAGCUUCCAUAGCGUAGUAAUCAUACACCUCGUUACUGGUAAUCGUCGCGGCCACGCCGUAAAACCCCAACUUCUGAAUGUUGACCUCGGAUCAGGUAGGAAUACCCGCUGAACUUAAGCAUAUCAAUAAGCGGAGGAAAAGAAACCAACAGGGAUUGCCCUAGUAACGGCGAGUGAAGCGGCAACAGCUCAAAUUUGAAAUCUGGCUCUCGGGCCCGAGUUGUAAUUUGUAGAGGAUGCUUUUGAUGCGGUGCCUUCCGAGUUCCCUGGAACGGGACGCCAUAGAGGGUGAGAGCCCCGUCUGGUUGGAUGCCAAAUCUCUGUAAAGCUCCUUCGACGAGUCGAGUAGUUUGGGAAUGCUGCUCUAAAUGGGAGGUAUAUGUCUUCUAAAGCUAAAUACCGGCCAGAGACCGAUAGCGCACAAGUAGAGUGAUCGAAAGAUGAAAAGCACUUUGAAAAGAGAGUUAAAAAGUACGUGAAAUUGUUGAAAGGGAAGCGUUUAUGACCAGACUUGGGCUUGGUUAAUCAUCUGGGGUUCUCCCCAGUGCACUUUUCCAGUCCAGGCCAGCAUCAGUUUUCGCCGGGGGAUAAAGGCUUCGGGAAUGUGGCUCUCUCCGGGGAGUGUUAUAGCCCGUUGCGUAAUACCCUGGCGGGGACUGAGGUUCGCGCAUCUGCAAGGAUGCUGGCGUAAUGGUCAUCAACGACCCGUCUUGAAACACGGACCAAGGAGUCGUCUUCGUAUGCGAGUGUUCGGGUGUCAAACCCCUACGCGUAAUGAAAGUGAACGCAGGUGAGAGCUUCGGCGCAUCAUCGACCGAUCCUGAUGUUCUCGGAUGGAUUUGAGUAAGAGCAUACGGGGCCGGACCCGAAAGAAGGUGAACUAUGCCUGUGUAGGGUGAAGCCAGAGGAAACUCUGGUGGAGGCUCGCAGCGGUUCUGACGUGCAAAUCGAUCGUCAAACAUGGGCAUGGGGGCGAAAGACUAAUCGACUCAGAGUUU
rnacentral:rRNA from 1 species